CCGGUAGAGGAUAACUCUAGAGACUCCGGCUGAUGAAAGCAAAAGGAGCGCCGAAGAAGCAAACUGUGGGAAUUCAUCAUUCCGCAGUGGAAACUGACAGGCAAAAGGAAGGUUAUCCGACGGAACUCUGGAGAGAGCGAGCAAUCGCCGCCUACGUGGAGAUAACCAACUGGUAAAAGGACAGAGAG
rnacentral:ncRNA from 1 species